rnacentral:rRNA from 1 species
GAUGAACGCUGGCGGCGUGCCUAAUACAUGCAAGUCGAGCGAACAGACGCGGCUCUUGCUCCUCUGACGUUAGCGGCGGACGGGUGAGUAACGCGUGUAUAACCUACCUAUAAGACUGGGAUAACUUCGGGAAACCGGAGCUAAUCCCGGAUAAUAUAUUGAACCGCGUGGUUCAAUAGUGAAAGACGGUUUUGCUGUCACUUAUAGAUGGUUCCGCGCCGCAUUAGCUAGUUGGUAAGGUAACGGCCUACUAAGGCAACGAUGCGUAGCCGACCUGAUAGAGGGAUCGGCGACAUUGGAGGGGAGACAGGGUCAAGACUCCUGCGGGAGGCAGCAGACUGGAAUCGGACGCAAUGGGCGAAAGCAUGACAGAGUAACGCGGCGUGAGUUAUGAAGGUCUUGGGAGCGUAAAACUCUGCUAUUAGGGAUGAACAAAUGUGUAAGGAAACAUGGACGGCGUGACGGUAACGAAUCAGAAAGCAACGGCUAACUACGUG